rnacentral:sRNA from 1 species
GAGACGAGGAAACAAUCCUGGUGAGCAAGACGUUUGCAAUUCCGAAAUAUCGCAAAGGUGCUCUACCGGCCGCUGCUGCAGCAGUAGUUCGAAAUGAAGCAUUAAUGGAUUCGUCGGAUUCUUCGGACUCGCAGAGCACAGUAAAAUCGCUCGAUGGAUGGAGAACCCGUACUUCUCGAUCAAUUAUGACAACUCCUGAGGCAUUUAGUCGUGUUCGACACAUAUCUAUAACAUUCGGAGAGCAACAGCAUGACAUUGAUACGGACCACUCGAAUCAACAUUUUGGCUCGCCGAGCUCGUUGCACAGCAGCCUACCGAGAGCUUUUUCCCCUCCGCAUAAGAUUUCCAAAGCGAGAAGACGUCAAUUGGCGGUUACUACGAGUUUAAGCGAGACUU